UGCACACCGUGUCCCUGGCUCCCUGGAUAGCAGAGAACUAAUCAACACGCCCUGGAAACCCCUUUUAGACUGCAGGCUCCGUUAGCAACAACACAACAAACAGUCCAAAGGGCUUCUGGGUGUAUGCUUCUGGCUGCUUCGAGAAUUGUUGCUAAAAUAAGGGGGUAAGGCCACAGGUGCUCCCAGCCUUCAGAGGAACAAGCCACUACCCAGGGUCAAGGCCAGGCAUGUCAGCCCAGCCUAAGAGGAAGUUCUUAGGGUAAGAGUCAUGGACUAUCCGCAGACCAGAGUGACAAGGAAGAAUGGAUGUAUUGAUUCUCCUGUAAGACAAUGGCUGAGUUCUGUGACCCGAGGCUUCGUGGGUAUCUCUAAGUCACUACCCCCACACUCCUACUUAUUUCUUCCAAAGUUACACUGGGCAAUGCCAUGUCUGCUUAGAAUUCCCACCUGAAUAGCCAGGCCAUACAGUAGGGGGUCAAUACCACAACCACCGCUUAGCUUCCUAUCGACACAACGUUCUUGCCAACAUGAUCUUUUAUCAGUGACCCCAGCAUCAGCUUCUAGGGAUGAUGUCCUUCAAACAUGCCAUUCACAUUGCCUUUCAGGUGGCAUUUGGCAGAGUUUGGAGUUAUCUUUGCUGUGACUGGAGUGGGAUGUUGCUACUGAUCUUUAGCUUGUAGAGGGCAGGGAUGCUACACAAUGAACGACUCGUGCUAAUUACUGAUCAGCUAAUGCUGAUGGCUGAGAUGGAGAGACCCUGGCAUAAGCUAUCCAUUCCACCUAGAACAGCCUCCUUCCUUUCUCCCUCUCUCUCCCUGCCCAUCUGUUGAUACCACACCUCUUCUAGGACUACUCAAGUCUACUUAAAUUGGCUUGCCACUGUGAAGCCCCUUUGAAUUCUGAUCCUCUUUAAUUGCUUUAGUUUCUCUGUUCAACCCUAUAAUGUUGUUUCCUAACAUGUAGUAACACACUUUGGACUUCUUACUUUUAAAAGAGGAGCAUGGGUGACAAGGUCGUGUGUCCCUUGUGAACUUAAGAACCUUUCGCGAACUUCCAGUUCAAUGCUUGGUGUAAAUCCAGACCACACAUCCCUGCCCAGGGUGUUUCUGUGGACUGGAGUCACACUGGGCUGGGAGGACCACAUCCUUGACUUGUGAGUCGUCACCACCCCUGUUCCAGCUUUGGUCCUGUACUACCCCAGUCUCCACAGGAAAUGUUGGCCUCUUCUCUGUACUCGCAAAAGUUCCAGUCACAAAAGUCAUGUUUUUCAGAGUGGAUUUUACUACAGGAAGCUGUGGAGAGAGUUGGCCUUCAGACAGUUUCCCAGGGAACCUCAGAAGUCUGUGCCCUUGGGGCUCUGUUCAGCUGUACUUGUUGUUUCUCAAUACAUGCUCCAGCUCCCAUGCCAGCUUUCCCCGAGAAACCCAGUUCACAAGUGCCUUCUUACGUUUAGCAUCCACUCGUCUUUCCUAAAGUGAGUAAAUCAAGGCACUGAGGUGGGGAAGAGGGGAAAAAAUGUAAUGAAUUUCCAAAUUCACAAUUUCUUUUCUUGUUGUUAUGCUUUUUUGUUCAAAGUUCCACCUUUAAAAACAUUCUUCAGGGACAGAGACUGAACCUUAUUUGUCUGUAUUUCAAGGCUUCAGACACUGAGGAUACGUUGUCUAUGGUUUGAGAAUGUUGAAGAACAGGUCUUCCUCGUUCAUGCUGAGUUCCUGCAUAAAUCUUCACACUCCAUGUGCACACUUCACACUCUACUGUGAGAGGGAAAGAGAUUGUGUUGUCUCAACUAUCAAUCCUCAAUGAUUACCCUUCACUCAAGAGGAAUGCCCUCAGUGGUGACAAGCUUCCUUAUUCACUAGACAUCUAGUGCCAGGACAUAUGAUACAGAGCUGUGUACAGGAGCGUUUCAAAGAGCAAAGCAUGGACCCGGCUUAGGGAGCCUAGUUAUCCACUUAGGGCACUUGACUUGGUGGAAGCCAGUCCUUGUGAGGGUUGUCAUUAGAACCCUCUCUUGGACAGUGAUGUGGAGACACUUAAGCCUCAGCAGACCAAUAGUUGCUUCUGGGAAGUUUCGGGUUCAGUAGGACUGUGGAUUUGCAGAGGGUCAUGAUUGAUGCAGGAAGUCAGAGUGCAGCAGAACACAGGAUUCAUAACCAAAAUAGUACUACCUUAUUUAUCCAUUAGGGUACUGUGGGGCGCAUUCAAACCCUAACUAUAACAUCUUCACACCCGCAAAGACAAAAUGCCUUCAAAAUAAAUGUUAUAAAGAUUACAAGGUUUGGGGUACGCAUUGAUUUAGAAUUUUCUACAUCAGUAACAAGAAAAAGUAUUUGUUUGUUUGAUUUUGUGUAUAUGCAUGCAUGCAUGUGUCUGUAGGUACUCACAUGCCACGGUGUACAUGUGGAGGUCAGAGGACAACUUGUGAGAUCUUUUCUCUCAUUCCAUCACCUGGAUCUGGGUAAUUGAACUCAGCUCACCAGCCAUGGUGGCAAGCAUCUUUCCCUGCUGAGCUCCCUCCCUGGCUCCAAGAGCACUUUAAAAAUACUGUUAGGAGCACUUUUAGUAAGAAAACAUGUGUUGUGCACACAAGCACCAUGAGAUAAAAGCUCACACAGAGAAAAGAAGGUAAUGGGCCAGCAGAGGACAUAGGAAGGCCUAAUUCCUAAUCUAAGUCUUGCCAAUAGUCAGCUCUGAAAUCAUGAUCUCCGUUUCCUCCUCUCUGAAAACAGGAUAGCAGUGGCUGCUCUGCCAGUGGUCUAGAUUUGCAUGGUGGAUCCAAGGAAAUAGAGGAUUUGAAAAUGUUUCAAGAAGUUAAGUCUGCUUUGCGGAGAAUAGCUAUAGCAGUUCAGUUAUCGGGGCCAGAAUGACUGAGUUAGUACCUGUUAUCUCUUCCUCCACUUGGGCUCUUGACGUCAGCCAGUCAGAUGCAUCUUUUGUUUCCAGUUUCUACUCCAAGAGCUGCUUUGCUUGUAAAGUCCGUGUGCUGUAGAGUAGAUUACAGUAGACACAGGAACUGAGCAACCAAUGCAAGGGUGAAGUGGUGAGAGAGAGAAAAAUCCAAGGACCAAGAAGGUGAGUAAAAAGCAGGUAAAAUUCACUUCUAUUGAGCUACACUUGACAGAAUUGAUACAGUAUGGAGUCAAGAAAACCACAGAGAAGAAGAAAUUAAACUAAAUUAAAAUCAGUCAUAUACCUGGCAUACCAAGUGCCAUCAGACAGAUCUGAGCUCAUCAAUGCAAACCCUUCUUUAGAUGUCUGCGAUGAGGGUCUCACUGUCCUCUUUCGUCUCCUGC